CGGGGAGACCGCGUUUAGAGGAUCAGUGGCGGCGGCACCCGCGGCCCCGCGCGGCGCGGACGGCGGGCAGCACCGUGCCUGGGCCCCCUCCUGCUCCGGUUCCAGAAUGACGCUCGGCCCAUGGACAGAGCCUGCCCAGUCACUCUCGGCUGCUAUUGAUCCCGAGGAUGAUGGCCGCCCCUAGCCAUUUCCCUCCUCUCUCUUCGGUUCCAGAACAGCCCAAGGAGCAGAAAAGAGUGACAAGGCCGUGAAAGGAGGCGCCUGGGGCGUAGCCGGCUCUAGGAGGUUACCCCAUGCGGAGUACACACCCUGCUACACCCAUCCCGGAGGAGGGAGGAAAUAGCCAGCCCGGAGCACCCCUGGACUCUGCCGGUCCCAGAGGCCACGCAAACUCCGCCCAGACUCGGUGAGGCCGCGGUAAUGCCACGCAGGGAACUGCGUGGAUAAGGUCGCUCGGAUCUGAGCGCCAAGGUCUCCCGCCUCUCCUUCCCGUCUAGUUCUCUCCGGACUCAAAUUGCCUUAAUCUCACCCAUCACUCUCUCAUGGAAAUGAUCUACUCGUGUGCAGUACUUCACAGCUUGUAUCACGGUCUCCCCUGAACCGUAUAGCAAGAGGGUGGUGGGGGGUGGAAGAGAAGGGUACUAUCUCCACUUUCCCGGCCAGGAGGCCCAAGUUAGGAGGCUUGUCCGAGAUCCCUAGGUCAGAGCACUAUUUAAGGUGAGAAGUUGGGUGGGGAGCUUGGCACCUUGCUCCAGUGUGCACUUUGCGCCUGGCCAUGUUUUAUAAGCAAGGGGGGCUUGGGCUGGUUAAGGGGGAGCAGGGACCGCAGGGCCAGGAAAGGGCAGCAUCCGGCAGGCCGGGGCGUCACGGUAUGUGCCUGGCCUGGGUAAACAACUCUGGCUUCCCACGAGCGCUGGAGGGACCCUGGGCAUGGGGCAGGGGCGUGGGGGAGGGGGGGCAGGGGCGUGGGGUGGGGCAGGGAGCGGGUGGAACAGCGAGGUCAAGCGUGGAGAUUCCAGUUGCGAGUCAGCUCCGCGCCGCGGAGCAAAGACAGGACGUGGAUAAUCUUGGGAGGGAGACGCUGAGCUGAAGAACAGAAAAGAGAGACAGAGGCAGAAGUGAGGAGAGAGGGACAGGAAAAGAAAAUAAAGGCAGAAAACCAGAGAAAAGAUGAGACGGAGUGCGGAAAAGCAGGCGGGGAUAAAGAAAGGAAAGAUCUGUCGGGGAAAUGCGGGGAGAAGUGGAGGAAAAGAAACAGAAAUUAGACCCAGAGAGAGACCCUGCCACGAAGAAGGCCGCGGGGACGGGCGCGGAGCCGAGGGCCCUGCAGGCACGGAGGGGGCGUCCCGCGGGUCUGGGGGUGUGCGGCUUUGGGACAGGCGAGUGCGUGCUGAGAGAAAGAGGCAGCGUGUUUGGUGGGAGACUCUGCGCCCGUGGAAAAGCGGCUCUGGGCAGGAAUCCAACAAAUAAAUAAAACGUCUAAGACGGCGUGACAACAAUGAAAAAAAAAAAAAAAAA
rnacentral:lncRNA from 1 species